rnacentral:rRNA from 1 species
UACGGAGGGUGCAAACGUUGCUCGGAAUCAUUGGGCGUAAAGCGCACGUAGGUGGACCGUUGAGUCGGGUGUGAAAUCCCUCAGCUUAACUGAGGAAGUGCAUUCGAUACUGGCGGUCUUGAGUACGGGAGAGGGUCGCGGAAUUCCCGGUGUAGAGGUGAAAUUCGUAGAUAUCGGGAGGAACACCAGUGGCGAAGGCGGCGACCUGGACCGAUACUGACGCUGAGGUGCGAAAGCGUGGGGAGCAAACAGG